UACGUAGGGUGCGAGCGUUAAUCGGAAUUACUGGGCGUAAAGCGUGCGCAGGCGGUUUUGCAAGACAGAUGUGAAAUCCCCGGGCUUAACCUGGGAACUGCAUUUGUGACUGCAAGACUAGAGUGCGGCAGAGGGGGGUAGAAUUCCACGUGUAGCAGUGAAAUGCGUAGAUAUGUGGAGGAAUACCGAUGGCGAAGGCGGCGAGCUGGUCCAUUACUGACGCUGAGGCGCGAAAGCGUGGGGAGCAAACAGG
rnacentral:rRNA from 1 species